rnacentral:rRNA from 1 species
GGUUCGAUCAUGGCUCAGAUUGAACGCUGGCGGGAUGCUUACACAUGCAAGUCGGGCAACGCUUCACGGACUUCGGUCUGGUGGCGAGUGGCGAACGGGUAGUAAUGUAUCGGAACGUGCCUAGUAGCGGGGGAUAACUACGCGAAAGCGUAGCUAAUACCGCAUACGCCCUUCGGGGGAAAGCGGGGGACCUUCGGGCCUCGCACUAUUAGAACGGCCGAUAUCGGAUUAGCUAGUUGGUGGGGGUAACGGCUCACCAAGGCGACGAUCCGUAGCUGGUUUGAGGAGGACGACCAGCCACGCUGGGACUGAGACACGGCGAACUCCUACGGGAGGCAGCAGUGAAAUUUUGGACAAUGGGAAACCCUGAUCCAGCCAUCCCGCGUGCGAUGAAGGCCUUCGGGUUGUAAAGCACUUUUGGCAGGAAGAAACGGCACCGGGAUAAUACCCCGUGCAACUGACGUACCUGCAGAAUAAGCACCGGCUAACUACGUGCCAGCAGCCGCGGUAAUACGUAGGGUGCAAGCGUUAAUCGGAAUUACUGGGCGUAAAGCGUGCGCAGGCGGUUCGGAAAGAUGUAAGAAAUCGAGCUUAACUUUGGAACUGCAUUUUUAACUACCGAGCUAGAGUGUGUCAGAGGGAGGUGGAAUUCCGCGUGUAGCAGUGAAAUGCGUAGAUAUGCGGAGGAACACCGAUGGCGAAAACAGCCUCCUGGGAUAACACUGACGCUCAUGCACGAAAGCGUGGGAGCAAACAGGAUUAGAUACCCUGGUAGUCCACGCCCUAAACGAUGUCAACUAGCUGUUGGGGCCUUCGGGCCUUGGUAGCGCAGCUAACGCGUGAAGUUGACCGCCUGGGGAGUACGGUCGCAAGAUUAAAACUCAAAGGAAUUGACGGGGACCCGCACAAGCGGUGGAUGAUGUGGAUUAAUUCGAUGCAACGCGAAAAACCUUGCCUACCCUUGACAUGUCUGGAAUCCCGAGAGAUUUGGGAGUGCUCGCAAGAGAACCGGAACACAGGUGCUGCAUGGCUGUCGUCAGCUCGUGUCGUGAGAUGUUGGGUUAAGUCCCGCAACGAGCGCAACCCUUGUCAUUGGUUGCUACGAAAGGGCCUCUAAUGAGACUGCCGGUGACAAACCGGAGGAAGGUGGGGAUGACGUCAAGUCCUCAUGGCCCUUAUGGGUAGGGCUUCACGCGUCAUACAAUGGUCGGGACAGAGGGUCGCCAACCCGCGAGGGGGAGCCAAUCCCAGAAACCCGAUCGUAGUCCGGAUCGCAGUCUGCAACUCGACUGCGUGAAGUCGGAAUCGCUAGUAAUCGCGGAUCAGCAUGUCGCGGUGAAUACGUUCCCGGGUCUUGUACACACCGCCCGUCACACCAUGGGAGUGGGUUUACCAGAAGUAGUUAGCCUAACCGUAAGGAGGGCGAUUACCACGGUAGGAUUCAUGACUGGGGUGAAGUCGUAACAAGGUAA